GAGAGAGAAGCAAGCCUGGGAUAUACAAGACCACAUAGUAAGACAAACAAGACAGAAAGAAGCAGGCAGGCAGUCAAGAAGGAAGGGAGAGAGGGAAAGAAAGGGGAGGAAUGGAGAGAGAGGGAAGGAAAGGAAGGGGAGGGGAGAGGAGGGAAGGGGAGGGAAGUUAGUUGAGUGUCUACUGGGUAAGGAGCACUAUGCUAAGUACUAUGAGGCACAGAGAGAGAAGCCCCCCAAAGAAACUUCUAGAAAAGAACUUCCC
rnacentral:lncRNA from 1 species